CAGUUCGGAUUGUAGUCUGCAACUCGACUACAUGAAGCUGGAAUCGCUAGUAAUCGCAGAUCAGAAUGCUGCGGUGAAUACGUUCCCGGGUCUUGUACACACCGCCCGUCACACCAUGGGAGUCGGAAAUGCCCGAAGCCGGUGACCCAACCAAAAGGAGGGAGCCGUCGAAGGCAGGUCUGAUAACUGGGGUGAAGUCGUAACAAGGUACC
rnacentral:rRNA from 1 species